rnacentral:rRNA from 1 species
AGAGUUUGAUCCUGGCUCAGGACGAACGCUGGCGGCGCGCCUAACACAUGCAAGUCGAACGAGCGAGAGAGAGCUUGCUUUCUCGAGCGAGUGGCGAACGGGUGAGUAACGCGUGAGGAACCUGCCUCAAAGAGGGGGACAACAGUUGGAAACGACUGCUAAUACCGCAUAAGCCCACAGCUCGGCAUCGAGCAGAGGGAAAAGGAGCAAUCCGCUUUGAGAUGGCCUCGCGUCCGAUUAGCUAGUUGGUGAGGUAACGGCCCACCAAGGCGACGAUCGGUAGCCGGACUGAGAGGUUGAACGGCCACAUUGGGACUGAGACACGGCCCAGACUCCUACGGGAGGCAGCAGUGGGGAAUAUUGCACAAUGGGGGAAACCCUGAUGCAGCGACGCCGCGUGGAGGAAGAAGGUCUUCGGAUUGUAAACUCCUGUUGUUGAGGAAGAUAAUGACGGUACUCAACAAGGAAGUAACGGCUAACUACGUGCCAGCAGCCGCGGUAAAACGUAGGUCACAAGCGUUGUCCGGAAUUACUGGGUGUAAAGGGAGCGCAGGCGGGAAGGCAAGUUGGAAGUGAAAUCCAUGGGCUCAACCCAUGAACUGCUUUCAAAACUGUUUUUCUUGAGUAGUGCAGAGGUAGGCGGAAUUCCCGGUGUAGCGGUGGAAUGCGUAGAUAUCGGGAGGAACACCAGUGGCGAAGGCGGCCUACUGGGCACCAACUGACGCUGAGGCUCGAAAGUGUGGUAGCAAACAGGAUUAGAUACCCUGGUAGUCCACACUGUAAACGAUGAUUACUAGGUGUUGGAGGAUUGACCCCUUCAGUGCCGCAGUUAACACAAUAAGUAAUCCACCUGGGGAGUACGACCGCAAGGUUGAAACUCAAAGGAAUUGACGGGGGCCCGCACAAGCAGUGGAGCAUGUGGUUUAAUUCGAAGCAACGCGAAGAACCUUACCUGCUCUUGAGAUCUCCCUGACCGGCAAGUAAUGUUGCCUUUCCUUCGGGACAGGGAUGACAGGUGGUGCAUGGUUGUCGUCAGCUCGUGUCGUGAGAUGUUGGGUUAAGUCCCGCAACGAGCGCAACCCCUAUCUUUAGUAGCCAGCGGUUCGGCCGGGCACUCUAGAGAGACUGCCAGGGAUAACCUGGAGGAAGGUGGGGAUGACGUCAAAUCAUCAUGCCCCUUAUGAGCAGGGCUACACACGUGCUACAAUGGCGUAAACAAAGGGAGGCAGAACCGCGAGGUCGAGCAAAUCCCAAAAAUAACGUCUCAGUUCGGACUGUAGUCUGCAACCCGACUACACGAAGCUGGAAUCGCUAGUAAUCGCAGAUCAGAAUGCUGCGGUGAAUACGUUCCCGGGUCUUGUACACACAGCCC